UGGGGAAUAUUGCGCAAUGGGCGAAAGCCUGACGCAGCAACGCCGCGUGAAGGACGAAGGCCUUCGGGUUGUAAACUUUUAUCGACAGGGAAGAAUAAUGACGGUACCUGAGUAAGAAGCACCGGCUAACUACGUGCCAGCAGCCGCGGUAAUACGUAGGGUGCAAGCGUUAUCCGGAUUUACUGGGCGUAAAGGGUGAGUAGGCGGUUAUAUAAGUCAUAUGUGAAAUGUCUCGGCUUAACCGAGGAAUUGCAUAAGAAACUGUAUAACUAGAGUACAGGAGAGGUAAGCGGAAUUCCUAGUGUAGCGGUGAAAUGCGUAGAUAUUAGGAAGAACACCAGUGGCGAAGGCGGCUUACUGGACUGAAACUGACGCUGAGUCACGAAAGCGUGGGGAGCAAACA
rnacentral:rRNA from 1 species